rnacentral:rRNA from 1 species
UACGAAGGGGGCUAGCGUUGCUCGGAAUCACUGGGCGUAAAGCGCACGUAGGCCGAUUGUUAAGUCAGGGGUGAAAUCCUGGAGCUCAACUCCAGAACUGCCCUUGAUACUGACGGUCUCGAGUCCGGGAGAGGUGAGUGGAACUGCGAGUGUAGAGGUGAAAUUCGUAGAUAUUCGGAGGAACACCAGUGGCGAAGGCGGCUCACUGGUCCAUUACUGACGCUGAGGUGCGAAAGCGUGGGGAGCAAACAGG